rnacentral:rRNA from 1 species
ACGCGUACGGUACUCGCUACACUGGGGGAUAACACUUAGAAAUAGGUGCUAAUACCGCAUAAGCGCACGAAGCCGCAUGGAUUUGUGUGAAAAACUCCGGUGGUGUAAGAUGGACCCGCGUCUGAUUAGCUUGUUGGCGGGGUAACGGCCCACCAAGGCGACGAUCAGUAGCCGGCCUGAGAGGGUGGACGGCCACAUUGGGACUGAGACACGGCCCAAACUCCUACGGAAGGCAGCAG